CUACGGAGGGUGCAAGCGUUAUUCGGAAUCACUGGGCGUAAAGGACGCGGAGGCGGGUUGGCAAGUCAGAUGUGAAAUCCUACAGCUUAACUGUAGAACUGCAUUUGAAACUGCUAACCUAGAGUAUGGGAGGGGGAGAUGGAAUUAGUGGUGUAGGGGUAAAAUCCGUAGAUAUCACUAGGAAUACCGAAAGCGAAGGCGAUCUCCUGGAACAUAACUGACGCUAAGGCGUGAAAGCGUGGGGAGCAAACAGGAUUAGAUACCCUAGUAGUCC
rnacentral:rRNA from 1 species